UGACAUCAGAAUCUAAGAGGCCACAGAGCUACAGAGCAUUUCAAUUUGUGGGUAGUUGCAGUAGGCCUUCGGUGGACACAUGUCAUAGAUAGGGUCUUCCUGUGUUGCCCAGGCUGGUCUCAAUCUCCUGAACUCAAUCAAUCCUCUCGCCUUGGCCUCCCAAUGUGUUAGGAUUACAGAUGUGAGCCACCUUGCCCAGCUUUAACCGUUUUAAAAGGUAUUUUGGAAACAAUACACUGAAGAUACUGUGCACCUAAGAUUCUCCAAGUAAUUGGAAUUCAACACUAAAAAUGCCUAUAACUAUAACUAAACCAUGCCACUAUAGAAGAGAUCAUGUAACUUAUGAAGAAAAAAGAUUCAAAUAGUGGGAACCAAAGGAAAAAGUAAAAGAUAGAUUUUAAAAUAAAA
rnacentral:lncRNA from 1 species